ensembl:lncRNA
GAACGAGACCCAGGUCAUACCAUGUUCACAACAUAGGUUUAGCUUACAGGUGAAUGAACGAGGCCCAGGUCAUACCAUGUUCACAACAUAGGUUUAGCUUACAGGUGAAUGAACGAGACCCAGGUCAUACCAUGUUCACAACAUAGGUUUAGCUUACAGGUGAAUGAACGAGACCCAGGUCAUACCAUGUUCACAACAUAGGUUUAGCUUACAGGUGAAUGAAUGAUACAACACAUAAAUUAUUGUCGCCCUUCUUCGCUUCUGACUGAACCUCUCUUAAUCAUUGAGUGUUGGAUAAAUUGUUUAGCUUUAAAGUGGAGAACAUUUAGCUUAAUAAACAAUUGAAUCAGAGCUCCAUCUACAUAAACGUACGAAUAGAAGACCAAAAAUAGAAAAGUGUUGAAAUAAAAUAAAGGAUAGUCCUAUGCAGUAUAAUCGAGGUGAGGAGGAAGCUGGGUUGUGAACAGAGUGGGUACUGUAUAAUAGUGUGUUUAUAUAGCUGGUGCUGGACUGUGUGUGUGUGUGUGUGUGUACUUCUUUGACCUUUAACCCUUGUUAUAUUGCCCUUCAUAUAAGAGUAUUAGGCAACGUCCCGAUUCUCCACACUUCUCCCGAAAUGCGCCCUUGCAUACUCCUCAGCAUGGAUUUAAAAGCAUAGUGCAGUAACGUCACUUUCAAAAUGAAUAAACCAUUUGACUUAGCUUCCUGUGUCCCAGCCAACCAGGUGGCUGGUCUCAUCAAGAGGAAGUGGGUGGAGUU